rnacentral:rRNA from 1 species
GUGGGUUGUACUAGACGUAGCAUAUUCAACCGUAAGGAGGAAUGUUAUAACGGUAUGAUUCAUGAUUGGGGUGAAGUCGUAACAAGGUAGCUGUAGGUGAACCUGCAGAAGGAUCA